ensembl:lncRNA
UUUUUUUUUUUUUUUUUUGGCCUAUUUCUAAAAUGUAGCCCUUCUGUCUCCUAGGGAGGCCCCUAAUUCAAUGUUGGCUUUGAAUGGAGGCAGGCUGUGAUGGCGAUACGUCACAACGAACUGGGAGGUGAUGGAGGAGAUUCUUCAGACAAAAUAAUAUGGUUUUUUACUAUGUGAACCACACAAGAUCUCCAGAGCUGAUUGGGGAAUAGGACAUCAAACAUCCAAGGAUUAUCUUGACUUUAUAAUAAUGAAACAGCUAGUUAUACCUGGCAAUCUAUCUUGAAGGAAUGGAGGAAUAACUGCCAUGGUUACAACAUUGUUCAUGUUGGACAGAAUUGAUAAUCCAAGGAUUAUCUUGACUUUAUAAUAAUAAAACAGCUAUUUAUACCUGGCAAUCUAUCUUGAAGGAAUGGAGGAAUAACUGUCAUGGUUACAACAUUUUUCAUGUUGGACAGAAUUGACUAUCGGAGAACAGAUCUAUAAGGAAUUUUCCUGGACUCUGCUUAAAGAAAUUGAUUUAUCACACUAGACACUGUGUCAGAGCUAAACAACAUGCUGGCGUAAUAUUUACAUUUAGAGCC